rnacentral:rRNA from 1 species
GACGAACGCUGGCGGCGUGCUUAACACAUGCAAGUCGAACGGAAAGGCCCUGCUUUUGUGGGGUGCUCGAGUGGCGAAAGGGUGAGUAACACGUGAGUAACCUGCCCUUGACUUUGGGAUAACUUCAGGAAACUGGGGCUAAUACCGGAUAGGAGCUCCUGCUGCAUGGUGGGGGUUGGUAAGUUUCGGCGGUUGGGGAUGGACUCGCGGCUUAUCAGCUUGUUGGGGGGGUAGUGGCUUACCAAGGCUUUGACGGGUAGCCGGCCUGAGGGGGUGACCGGCCACAUUGGGACUGAGAUACGGCCCAGACUCCUACGGGAGGCAGCAGUGGGGAAUAUUGCACAAUGGGCGGAAGCCUGAUGCAGCAACGCCGCGGGCGGGAUGACGGCCUUCGGUUUGUAAACCGCUUUCGCCUGUGACGAAGCGUGAGUGACGGUAAUGGGUAAAGAAGCACCGGCUAACUACGUG